rnacentral:rRNA from 1 species
UCCGUACGUGAACCUGCGGAAGGAUCAUUACUA